rnacentral:rRNA from 1 species
AGAAUCAACGCUGGCGGCGUGCCUCAGACAUGCAAGUCGAACGCGAAAGUCCCCUUCGGGGGACAAGUAGAGUGGCGCACGGGUGAGUAACACGUAGGUAAUCUACCUUCAGAUGGGGAAUAACAACCGGAAACGGUUGCUAAUACCGCAUAAUGCAGCGGCACCUAAUGGUGACAGUUGUUAAAGCGGGGGAUCGAAAGACCUCGCGUCUGAAGAGGAGCCUGCGGCGGAUUAGCUAGUUGGUAGGGUAACGGCCUACCAAGGCGACGAUCCGUA